UACGUAGGUGGCAAGCGUUGUUCGGAAUUAUUGGGCGUAAAGAGCUCGUAGGCUGUUCGAUAAGUCGGGUGUGAAACCUCCAGGCUCAACCUGGAGACGCCACCCGAUACUGUCAUGACUAGAGUCCGGAAGAGGCGAGUGGAAUUCCUGGUGUAGCGGUGGAAUGCGCAGAUAUCAGGAGGAACACCAAUAGCGAAGGCAGCUCGCUGGGACGGUACUGACGCUAAGGCGCGAAAGCGUGGGGAGCGAACAGG
rnacentral:rRNA from 1 species